rnacentral:rRNA from 1 species
AUGGGUAGUGUUUUCUCUUUAGACCCCCUCUAUUCUUACAUCUCAUCUUUUCUAAACCCUCAGAUGCCUCCGAGACGUGACCCCGGAUUUGCCUUUCCACCGGAGCUCACCCAGUUGAUCCAGCAGCAGAACACAUUGAUGCAGUUGCUAGUCCAGAAUCAAAACCAGGGGAACAACAACAACAACCCACCACCACCACUAGUUGACCACUUAGCCCGUUUUCUUAGGCUAAAUCCACCGGUGUUUUCCAGAAGCACCGAGCCGAUAGUAGCAGAUGAUUGGCUCCAGAAGACAGCUAGGGAGUUAACCAUAGCAGGAUGCAUAGAUGCGGAGAAGGUGAAGUUUGCCGCACAUCAGCUAGAAGGACCCGCAGCAUCAUGGUGGAAGAAUUUCACAACCACUUUCCCUGUCGACACUGUCACAUGGGAUCAGUUUCAGCAGGCUUUUCGUACUGCACAUGUUUCAGCAGGAGCUAUGGCCAUGAAGAAGUGUGAGUUUUGCAACUUGCGCCAAGGAGGACGGACAGUUGGCCAGUAUGUGGAGGAUUUUAGUAAGUUAGCUCGUUAUGCACCAGAUGACGUCGCUACGGAUGCAGCUAAGCAGGAGAAGUUUCUGGAAGGACUGAAUGAUGAGUUGAGCAUGCAAUUGAUGGUAGCAACCUUCAACAACUACCAGGAGUUGGUAGAUCGUGCCCUUAUGAUUGAAGGGAAGCAGCAGCAAAUUAAGAAUCGCAAGAGGAAGUAUGGACAAGGGAAGUACAAUUCAGGAGCUCAGCAGAAGCCACGUUUUACCCCUACACCGGGAGGACAUUUUCAGCAUACCCAUGGAGGAGGUAGCUCACACAAUCACAAUGGCACCAAGAAUGGUAAUGGCAAUGGAGGAAGCAACGGCCAGAAUCGCACCAACACAUCAACCCCAGCCAAGAAGGACCUGAGCCAAGUCACUUGUUUUAAGUGUCAGAAGACCGGACACUAUGCCAAUGAAUGUCCUGAAGGCCAAAAUGGCAAUGGAAAUUCUGGGAAGAAGCCGAACCCUUUCAACAGGGGACAGAUGAACCACGUUAGCGUGGAGGAGGUUGAAGCUCAGCCCGAUGCAGUAAUAGGUAAGUUUUUGGUUAAGUCAUUUACUGCACUCGUUCUUUUUGAUACUGGUGCAUCGCAUUCAUAUAUCUCAAGGGGAUUUGUGGAUAAGUAUAACCUAUCAACCCAAGCCCUUAGGUCACCCAUGUUAGUAACCUCGCCUGGAGCAGAGUAUAUGGCUAGUCUAUGGUGUGAUCGGUUACCAUUAAGGAUUGGUAACUAUGUUUUUCCCUCAGACCUAAUAGUAUUGGAAUCCCAAGGAUUGGAUGUGAUAUUAGGCAUGGAUUGGUUAUCAAAGUAUGAAGGGAAUAUUGAAUGUGCUAGUAAGUCAAUUUUGAUUACCACCCCAGAAGGGAGAAGGAUCAAGUAUGUAUCCCGGCAUGUGCCAAAGAGGACUCAAGUAAAUUGCCUAAUAGGAGUUGUGCAGGAGGAAGUACCAGUGGUAAAGGAUUUCCCUGAAGUAUUUCCAGAGGAGUUGCCAGGCAUGCCACCGGAUAGAGAUAUUGAGUUUUUGACUGAGCUAUUGCCAGGCACAGGGCCAAUAUCAAAGAGACCAUAUAGGAUGCCAGCAAAGGAUUUGGUGGAAAUUAAGAAGCAGAUUAAGGAGUUGCUGGAUAAGGGAUAUAUUCGCCCAAGUUCUUCACCUUGGGGAUCGCCAAUACUUCUAGUGGAGAAGAAGGAU